GAUGAACGCUGGCGGCGUGCUUAAUACAUGCAAGUCGAACGGAAAGGCCCUGCUUUUGUGGGGUGCUCGAGUGGCGAACGGGUGAGUAACACGUGAGUAACCUGCCCCUGACUUUGGGAUAACUUUAGGAAACUGGGGCUCAUACCGGAUAGGAGCUCCUGCUGCAUGGUGGGGGUUGGAAAGUUUCGGCGGUUGGGGAUGGACUCGCGGCUUAUCAGCUUGUUGGUGGGGUAGGGGCUUACCAAGGCUUUGACGGGUAGCCGGCCUGAGAGGGUGACCGGCCACAUUGGGACUGAGAUACGGCCCAGACUCGUACGGGAGGCAGCAGUGGGGAAUAUUGCACAAUGGGGGGAAGCCUGAUGCAGCAACGCCGCGUGCGGGAUGACGGCCUUCGGGUUGUAAACAGCUUUCGCCGGUGACGAAGCGUGAGUGACGGUAAUGGGUAAAGAAGCACCGGCUAACUACGUG
rnacentral:rRNA from 1 species